rnacentral:lncRNA from 1 species
UCAAACAUAAACAGAGAUAAUCAUGGAGCUUUUUCCCCAAGAUUAGUAACUGGGUUUUGCUUGCUUUGUGGCAAUUCAAACGGGUUUUGUGGGGCUUUCCUCCAUUUUCUUUGAUUUUGACCCUUAUUUUCUUCCUCGCCAAACACCUUUCUCUCUCCCUCUUUCUCUUCCGUACAUAUAGAUAUUUAUAUACACCCCCACUACUCCUCUCUUCAUCAUCCCUCCCACCUGAUUUCCUGGUUUUACACUAAUCCCCAUAAUUCGUCUUCUAAUCUUUCAAAACAUUCAUUUUCUUGGAGAAUCUUAAUCAGGGUUCCUCAAACCAUGCCUCGUAUACCCUCAGAAGACAUGUGUGUAUGUAGAUUCAAAUAUGCAUACAUGAUUACAUGCAUAUCUCAUGCUAUAUAUUCAUUACAUGAAUUCAUGAUACAUGUAUAGAUAUAUAUAUAUAUAUAUAUAUAUAUACACAUAUAUGUGUAGGCAUGAGGUACGCAUGUGAGUGUUGUGCCUGGCUCCCUGUAUGCCAUUUGCAGAGCCCACCGAGCAUCGCUGGCCUCCGUGGAUGGCGUAUGAGGAGCCAUGCAUACUCCCACAUAUAUUAUCCAUGCCUCUUUUUUUUUUGUCUUCUGCAGAUUUUUCCUCUUCCCUGUAAGGGUAGUUUCGUUAUUAUAGGAGGGAACUGAGGGCAGCAAUGUAAUUUCGGGAGGGUGUUUGGGAUUGCAAUUUUGCAGAUGAAAUUUCCUGAUCUUCUCUGAACAAAGGUACUUCUUCUACUUCACAUAUAUCUCUUAUUCUAUUUCCUUCCUGCAUGCUCAUAUUUUGGGUACUUGGGUGAUGUUUCUGCAGAUAAACCAUAUGUAUACAUGUAUACAUAGACCAUAUAUACAUAUAUAUAUAUGUAUAAACUUUUCUUGAGUGGUAAACUAAAAAAUGCGUGGAAGAAUAUUACCGAUGGUUUCUCGAAUAUUCCAAGAGUUUCAGAUCCUCCACAUAUAUAUAUACACAUAUAGGUACUUGGGCAAUUUUCCAGCUAUGGAAAACAAAUAUGUAUAUAUGUAUAUAUAUAUCCACAAACCUAAAUCACAGGGAUUCAUUACAACUGUAAACCUGUCCAACCGAAACAUGUAUGUAAACGAGACUAAAUCUUCAUAGGUAAUAAUAUUAUAAGCUGUUAUUUUGCACAAAUCACAUAACCGAGUAAUUCUUAUAAUGAAUUAUAUCAUCAAAUAACAUUUGCUUCAUCACUUAUUAAUUAGUUGUAAUAUAUAUACACAUGUAUGUUUAUAGCUAGAUCCAGUUUAUAUGUAGACGUGUGUGUAUAUAUAUGUAGUGCUGGAAUAUGAUUAUAGCCAUUUGAUAUAUGGACGUAUUAUGAUUAUUAUACCAGCUGUCUGUGUUUGUUAAUGAUAAUUAGCUUAUUUAGUUCACUUAAAACCAAGUUGCUCAGUUAUGUAUAUAUAUAUAUAUAUAUACACACACAAGAACAUAUUUAUAUAUAUGGGAUUUUAUGAAAUGAGAUCCCAUUUGAUCUCAUAAGCUAGCUGCUGGGCUGGGGUUUAAGAGAAAACCUACAUGAUCAAACACAAAAGCCAACAUAAAAUAAUGAACUAGUAUAUUAUAUAUAUAUAUAUAUGGAGUACAUUACAUAUAUAUAUUUUUAUUAAACUAACUAGUAAUUAAGGUUAGUUUCUUGAUUAACAAAACAGACGUUUUUCCUGACCCAUAAUAGACAUGAUUGUUAAUGCACCUUGUUGUCAAUAGCUACUGGAACUACUAGUACUAAUCAUGAGUAUUUUCCACAGUACAUAUACGCAUAUACAUAUAUAAUAUAGCAAUUGUAUCAAUAUCGUGUUCUAUUAUAUUUUAGUUAGAAAGAGUUUAUGCAUAUAGGUUUUAAAAAUUAAAAAAUGGUAAUAAAAAGAGACAUAUGUGUAUACAUCACAAUGUAUCUAUCAAGCUAAGUUGGUCAAGCAAGAUAUGGAGGUACAAAACCUAUCCAUCUUUACGUAAUAUCUUUCUUUCUCAUUUUCUUUCUCUUUCUCUGUCACCAAACAAGGGAAAGUGUGUGAAAGAAAUUAUCAAAGUUAUGGAAAAGAAAAGUAAAAGUGAUGAUGAUGAUGGUGAUUAUAGGUAGCUAUAUACUAUAUACUGUACUGUGUGUUUGGGAGUGGGGGAAUCUAAAUGGACCACCUUCAAACUCUGAUUCAACAAUAGGUUAUUAUAAUAAAUAUAUAUAUAUAUAUAGAUAUACGGUCAAAGCAGGUCAAAUAUAAAGAAAAAGAAAAGGACAUUGCUCAGUCCAAAACACUUUGGACCACCUUCAAGAUCUCCUGAAAUCAAUUGGAUCUCUUCCUUUUUCUUUUUAAUUAAUACAUAUACAUACACAUACAUAUAUAUAAUUGAUUUAUGAUAUACAGAGAACUUGUGGUUGAUCUACCCAUUCAAUGUAAUUAAUAAAACAUGACCAAUAUAUAUGUAGAUAUACAUAUAACUCAUGAGUAAACUUACUUAGAUUUUUGUCCAAGUUAUACAAUAAUAAUCAGUAAAAUAAAUGGAAAAUAUACAUAACCCAUAAGAUGUUUUCAUGUUAGGUUGAUAAGAAAUUAAUGUUUAUUAUAUCAUAUCACGCACUAUAUUACAGUUGAUGUGUGCGUGUGUGUGUGUGUGUGUAUGUAUAUAUCGAUAAUUUAAAAGAAGUAAUUAUUUUUUCACAUGAGCUGCAUGCUUGCGGCCUCACAUACAGAACAUUCUCCCUGGAUGGAUCUGCAGAGAUGAAAAAAAGAAGGGAG